rnacentral:rRNA from 1 species
CAGUCGCCACGGUAAUACGUAGGUGGCAAGCGUUGUCCGGAAUUAUUGGGCGUAAAGGGCUCGCAGGCGGUUUCUUAAGUCUGAUGUGAAAGCCCCCGGCUCAACCGGGGAGGGUCAUUGGAAACUGGGAAACUUGAGUGCAGAAGAGGAGAGUGGAAUUCCACGUGUAGCGGUGUAAUGCGUAGAGAUGUGGAGGAACACCAGUGGCGAAGGCGACUCUCUGGUCUGUAACUGACGCUGAGGAGCGAAAGCGUGGGGAGCGAACAGGAUUAGAUACCCGGGUAGUCCCUGUCUCUUAUAC